rnacentral:rRNA from 1 species
UGAGGAAUAUUGGUCAAUGGGCGAGAGCCUGAACCAGCCAAGUAGCGUGCAGGAUGACGGCCCUAUGGGUUGUAAACUGCUUUUAUGUGGGGAUAAAGUGCGUGACGUGUCAUGCAUUGCAGGUACCACAUGAAUAAGGACCGGCUAAUUCCGUGCCAGCAGCCGCGGUAAUACGGAAGGUCCGGGCGUUAUCCGGAUUUAUUGGGUUGAAAGGGAGCGUAGGCUGUCUAUUAAGCGUGUUGUGAAAUAUACCGGCUCAACCGGUGGCUUGCAGCGCGAACUGGUCGACUUGAGUAUGCAGGAAGUAGGCGGAAUUCAUGGUGUAGCGGUGAAAUGCUUAGAUAUCAUGACGAACUCCGAUUGCGCAGGCAGCUUACUGUAGCAUAACUGACGCUGAUGCUCGAAAGUGCGGGUAUCAAACAGG